rnacentral:rRNA from 1 species
UGGCGAGUACUGAGCAUAAGCUUCCUUCCUUGAGGAUUCAAGUGAGCGGCGGGUAAAACCGUCGUUUCGCUCCUCAUCGUUUACUUUGAGAAAUUAGAGUGUUCAAGCAGCAUAACUCAGUCUUGAAUAUUGCAGCUUGGGAUAUGAAACAGGACGAGAGUUCUAUUUUGUUGUUUCUAGGGCUUUUGUAAUGAUUAAAAGGGACAGUUGGGGGCAUUAGUAUUCAGUUGUCAGAGGUGAAAUUCUAGGAUUUACUGAAGACUAACUACUGCGAAAGCAUUUGCCAAGGAUGUUUUCAUUAAUCAAGAACGAAAGUAGGGGGACCGAAGAUGAUCAGAUACCGUCGUAGUCUCUACCAUAAACUAUGCCGACCAGGGAUUCGGAGAAGUUACGUGGAUGACUCCCCGAGCACCUUGUGAGAAAUCAUAAGUUGUUGGGUUCUGGGGGGAGUAUGGUCGCAAGGCUGAAACUUAAAGGAAUUGACGGAAGGGCACCACCAGGCGUGGAACCUGCGGCUUAAUUUGACUCAACACGGGGAAACUUACCAGGUCCAGACACAGUGAGGAUUGACAGAUUGAGAGCUCUUUCUUGAUUCUGUGGGUGGUGGUGCAUGGCCGUUCUUAGUUGGUGGAGUGAUUUGUCUGGUUAAUUCCGUUAACGAACGAGACCUUAACCUGCUAAAUAGUCCAUGUUAGAUUUCGGUCUAGCAUGUCAUUUUUGACUUCUUAGAGGGACUAUUCGA